GCACCUCAGAGGAUAGCCUCUGAGAGGUUUGCUCGUCAACACAAGCCAUUUUGGCUCAAAGCUGACCCCACUUAAGAAGCACCAGUGCACACCAGUUACGAUGAAUGGCAGGCACUGAACCCCACUAAGGAAGCACCAGAGCACCGUGCACUGAAUCCUAGGAUGUAUCCUCUCUUCCAUCCUGUUUACCAUCCAUAUGUACUACCAGCCACCACCAUUCAUCCCAACAGGGGAAGGUCCCUC
rnacentral:lncRNA from 1 species